AUCAUGUGUGACGUCUCGGCCAGCUCCCCCCGUGUCUCUCUCUCAUGUUGCUUUGGCGGGCCCCCGGGGCCACCCGGUCGACCGGGGACGUCCGUCUCCGGGCCCGCGCCCACCGAAACACCCUGUGAACCCUGAUGAAUAUGGGCUGUCUGACUCUCAUGAAAAUUGUCAAAACUUUCAACAAUGGAACUCUUGGAUCCAGCGUCAAUUAAUAACGUAACUAAAUGAGAUAAGUAAUGAGAAUUGCAUAAUUCCGUGGAUCAUCCAAGCUGUGAGCCCGCAUUGCGCCCCUUGGCAUUCUCGGGGGCUUGCCGGUGCGAGCGGCUUUUCUGCCCUCCUGCGCGGCUUGUCUGUUGAGCGUGGUCCCCCCCGGGACCUGCCCUAAAGGAGGGCACCACGUCUGUCGGGUCCUCCACCGAAUGGGGCUCUGUCACUCUCUCUUUACGCAUCCGUGAACGUUGAUCAUGACCGGAGUUUUACCCCGGUUGACCUCGGAUCUAGGCGGAGUUACCCGCUGAACUUAAGCAUAUCAAUAA
rnacentral:rRNA from 1 species